rnacentral:tRNA from 1 species
UCCCUGGUAGUAUAUCGGUUAGUACACGCGCCUGUCAUCUGAUUUCAAACGCGCGAAAGCGGGGUUCGACUCCCCGCCAGGGAG